rnacentral:tRNA from 1 species
GCCGGACUAGCUCAGUUGGUAGAGCAUCCGCCUUGUAAGCGGGGGGUCGAUAGUUCGAAUCUGUCGUCCGGCACCA